GAUGAAGAACGCAGCGAAAUGCGAUAAGUAAUGUGAAUUGCAGAAUUCAGUGAAUCAUCGAAUCUUUGAACGCACAUUGCGCCCGCCAGUAUUCUGGCGGGCAUGCCUGUCCGAGCGUCAUUUCAACCAUCAAGCCCCCGGGCUUGUGUUGGGGACCUGCGGCUGCCCGCAGGCCCUGAAAACCAGUGGCGGGCUCGCUGUCACACCGAGCGUAGUAGCAAUCACCUCGCUCAGGGCGUGCUGCGGGUUCCGGCCGUUAAAAAGCCUUUUUUACCCAAGGUUGACCUCGGAUCAGGUAGGAAUACCCGCUGAACUUAAGCAUAUCAAUAAGCGGAGGA
rnacentral:misc_RNA from 1 species